rnacentral:lncRNA from 1 species
GGGGAAGUAUUAACAAUGAAAAGUUAAAACACCUUUCUGCUGGCUCUGCUUUAGGGAAGGAUCUCCCUUAACUGAAUUAUGUUAAUGGAUGUAGCCUGCGGCUGGCUCCUGCCAUCCUAGUGACAAAGCUCUGUCCUUUCAAGCACAGGCUUGUCUGGUGAAGUGAUCACUUCUUUUCACCCUUCCAGGCCAGCCAACAAGAGAACACCAGCCCAGUCCCUUGUAUCCCAAUGAGGGAAGGGCAGGAGCUCAGGCUUCUCUGAAGACGCACAGAUGAGCUGCACAGCUCUCAGCUUUCUAUGCUCCAGGCUGAAUCCUGUUGUGUUUACAGAACUCUUCUCUAGAC